CACGUAGGGGACGAGCGUUGUCCGGAUUCAUUGGGCGUAAAGCGCGCGUAGGCGGCUCGGAAAGUCGGUCGUGAAAUGCCGGGGCUCAACCCCGGGACUGCGUCCGAUACUUCCGGGCUGGAGGUAGGUAGGGGAGAUCGGAAUUCCUGGUGUAGCGGUGAAAUGCGCAGAUAUCAGGAGGAACACCGACGGCGAAGGCAGGUCUCUGGGCAUUAACUGACGCUGAGGAGCGAAAGCAUGGGGAGCGAACAGG
rnacentral:rRNA from 1 species